rnacentral:sRNA from 1 species
GAAUUCACCUUGCCUGGGCCCUGUGCAUCCCCAAAAGAAGCAAGGUGGGUGAGAUCCCCAUUUCUCAGGCUGGCCCCCCAAGGCUGAGGACUGGGCAGGGGCUGGCUGGAGUUGUCCCUUCGAGCUCCAGCCUGGCCUCAGUCCCUUCUUCCUUCAGGGCCACACCCUACGCAGCCGCCCCUGGGGAACCCCUGGGAACCCUGAAUCAGGGGCCAUGCCCUCUCCAAACCCUCUCUGCUCACUCCUCACCUUCAGUGACUUCAACGCAGGAGCCAUCAAGAAUAAGGUACUGUCUCUGCCCAGCUUCUGAGACGUGGCCUGGCCCAGACCCCCACUGAUCCAGCCCUUCCCCGAACCCAGGCCCAGUCGGUGCGAGAAGUGUUUGCCCGGCAGCUGAUGCAGGUGCGCGGAGUGAGUGGGGAGAAGGCAGCAGCCCUGGUGGAUCGAUACAGCACCCCCGCCAGCCUCCUGGCCGCUUAUGAUGCUUGUGCCACCCCCAAGGAACAAGAGACACUGCUGAGCACCAUCAAGUGUGGGCGUCUACAGAGGUGAGGGCAAGAGACAGAACCUGGAGGGAGUGGUAGGGACUGGGGCUGCCCUAGGCCCAGGGUGUGACCCUCGCUGCCUCUCUUCCUGCAGGAAUCUGGGGCCUGCUCUGAGCAGGACCUUAUCCCAGCUCUACUGCAGCUACAGCCCUUUGACCUGAGCUUAUGCCGUGAAACAGUCCCCAGCCCCCGUCUGUCCCCCAACCCAGGCUUGCCAGCCUUUUAACAACAUAUUUUGGGGUGCAAUUAGAAUCUAAGUGUUUGCAGCCAUAUUUGUCAUGCGG